CUUGUGGUUCCCUGAGGAACUGUGUCUCUCAUAUAUAAACCAGCUUUUUGGCUCAGACCUUUUCCUCUGAAGACACCUGCUUCCUGUGCAAAAUACUGAGGGCCCAGCCUAGGUGUUGAGGUUGUUGGCUUUGCUGCUCCAUCAGACUUCGGGGAGCUGCUUGUACAGUGAAGUAUUCAGUUGUGCCUGCAGUCUCCAGAGGAACACACAGCUAAGGAAGAGGAAGACCUGUGAGGAUGACAAGCUGAGGGAUGUCCAAGUGUUCAGGAAAAGAGAAUGUGGGCCUGGACCAUCCUUAUGGCCUCCGCAUAGAGAGUGCCACCUGGGAGGGCUUGCGGAGGAGGAUCCUGAUCAUGGUGUGAAGAGCAGAAGGUGGCUGCUGUCAGAUACGGGAGCAGUGCCUAAGGAAAGGGCCCAAGGGGUGUUUUACGAGAGGGUGCAAAGAGGAGCAGGGCUCCUGCCAGAGAGCACUUUGGGGAUGAAGGAGACACCAGAGACAAGGCUCAAUCUGAGGCUACUCAGGUACUGAAGAGCAGGUACCUUUAGCCCUCACAAAGGAUAUUUUCCUGAGCUGCCAUGACUUCUGGUUGCCUGCUGUGAGAAACUGGUACCAGCCAGCUCACUUAAGCUGAUGAAAAAGUCUGAGUUAGAGGAACCUGUUGACCUCUCAGAAGCAACCAGUACCUCCCAAACUCUAAUCAGCUGGUUCCAGGUGGAACAGGUUCACACAUUGGAGCAAGUUUUUUUUGAGAAGGUGGUUGUACUAAAACUACAUACAUACCCUGCUUGCUACUCUGUAAAACUGCCCUGAAUAUAUCAGUGUUUAAAGCAGAUACCUACUGAGUAAAUAUAGCCUGCCUGUGUAGAGAAAAAGUUAUUCAGACUUUUUACGGGAAGUAUGUUAUUCUUGUCAAGAAGUUAUGAAAUAAGAUGGAAAAGAUUUACUAAGUACCUGGAGGGAAAGUCACAAAUAUCCUGAAGGCCAAAUACUGCCUGAAGAUCAAGUUGUUAGUUUGAACUGAGCUUCUCAACUUAGUUUUCAUUCUCUAUGUCAUAUUUUUUGCUGUGUGUUUGGUUGACUCCAAGUCCAGUGUGCUGGUAAUGCCAUGUGCUCCAGUAGAGACAUAUGAAUUUGGAGUUGUGGUAUAAAAUCAUAGACUGUCCCAGGUUGGAGAGGUCACGCAAGGAUCAUCAAGUUCAACUCCUGGGUCUGCGUAGGACCACCCCAAAAUCAGAUCAUAUAUCUGAGAGCAUUGUCCAGAUGCUUCUUAAACUCUGGCAGCUCAGUGCCAUGACCACUUCCCUGGUAUCGAACCUGACUCUUCCCUGUAAAAGCUUCAUGCCAUUCCCUUGGCCAUAACCAUAUCAGCCCACCAAUCAGCUAGCUGUUUUAGCCCCAUUUUCACAGUGAUGUUUGAAUACCAAGGCCUAUACCACUGAUGCAGACAAGUUAAUUACCUGUAUCUUGUAAUAGUCUAUUGAUGUUUAACAGAUAAAGUGUCCCUUGUGCUGAAGAUGGAGCUUGCAGCUAUUUUGUUUUUAUUUCAUUACAAUUGAUAUGCAAGGAAAGAAAAGAAAUAUAAGCUAACUGUAGGCCAGUACUCUUGAUGCAUGCCCGGGUAGUUCACUGACCCACAACUAUGCUGGCAGAAGGAGAAGGUCAGAUCUGAUGCUGUAAGGGUUAAACAGUAAGGUUUGCUAAGUCAGACUUACAGAUGAGUUCAGAUGCAGUGGUUAGCAAUAAUGAAAAAAUGGGCUUGAUUGGCAAUCUCUCUAAUGCUUCUGGAUUAAUUGAACACACCCUUGUGUCAGCACAAGGAUUGAUGGGUAUAGGAUAGAAAUACACGGUCAUGUGAUUUUCCGUAGUUCAUGAUCAGAGGCCAGUUGUGGGGAAGAGUAUAUAAUACUAGUGAAACUGUCUUCCUUGAACUUGUAUUGGAAUAAGUUUUGUGUGUAACAGGCCAUACUGAGUCAUCUACAAAUAAUAUGAAAAUGCUUGCUAAGGGUUUUACUCAAUCUUUAGAAGUAAUUCAUACUCUGUAGUCCAAAAAUGUAAGAAGCUACAAGAACAUUUAAUUUUCCUAAGAAUGUCUUUCCUGAUAUAAUAUAAAAGUUUUCAUGU
ensembl:lncRNA